GGCACGGUAGUUGAGUGGUUAAAGCGCUUAUAGCUAUUUACUCGGUAGCGAAUAUCGGUGGUUCAAAUCCAUCCCGGAGCAAGUUA
rnacentral:tRNA from 1 species